rnacentral:misc_RNA from 1 species
AUGGUUGUAACGGGUAACGGG